rnacentral:rRNA from 1 species
AUGCAGUCGAGCGGAACGAUGGAAGCUUGCUUCCAGGCGUCGAGCGGCGGACGGGUGAGUAAUGCAUAGGAAUCUGCCCGAUAGUGGGGGAUAACCUGGGGAAACUCAGGCUAAUACCGCAUACGUCCUACGGGAGAAAGCAGGGGAUCUUCGGACCUUGCGCUAUCGGAUGAGCCUAUGUCGGAUUAGCUAGUUGGUGAGGUAACGGCUCACCAAGGCGACGAUCCGUAGCUGGUCUGAGAGGAUGAUCAGCCACACUGGGACUGAGACACGGCCCAGACUCCUACGGGAGGCAGCAGUGGGGAAUAUUGGACAAUGGGGGAAACCCUGAUCCAGCCAUGCCGCGUGUGUGAAGAAGGCCUUCGGGUUGUAAAGCACUUUCAGCGAGGAAGAAGGCCUGAGGGCUAAUACCCUUCAGGAAGGACAUCACUCGCAGAAGAAGCACCGGCUAACUCCGUGCCAGCAGCCGCGGUAAUACGGAGGGUGCGAGCGUUAAUCGGAAUUACUGGGCGUAAAGCGCGCGUAGGUGGCUUGAUAAGCCGGUUGUGAAAGCCCCGGGCUCAACCUGGGAACGGCAUCCGGAACUGUCAGGCUAGAGUGCAGGAGAGGAAGGUAGAAUUCCCGGUGUAGCGGUGAAAUGCGUAGAGAUCGGGAGGAAUACCAGUGGCGAAGGCGGCCUUCUGGACUGACACUGACACUGAGGUGCGAAAGCGUGGGUAGCAAACAGGAUUAGAUACCCUGGUAGUCCACGCCGUAAACGAUGUCGACUAGCCGUUGGGGUCCUUGAGACCUUUGUGGCGCAGU